rnacentral:rRNA from 1 species
AUUGAACGCUGGCGGCAGGCCUAACACAUGCAAGUCGAGCGGAGCGGCGGACGGGUGAGUAAUGCCUAGGAAUCUGCCUGGUAGUGGGGGAUAACGUCCGGAAACGGGCGCUAAUACCGCAUACUAUCAGAUGAGCCUAGGUCGGAUUAGCUCGUUGGUGGGGUAAAGGCCUACCAAGGCGACGAUCCGUAACUGGUCUGGGAGGAUGAUCAGUCACACUGGAACUGAGAAACGGUGCAGACGCAGUCGGGAGGCAGCAGGUGGGAAUGAUGGGCAAUGGGCGAAAGCCUGAUCCAGCCAGGCCGCGUGAGUGAAGAAGGUCUUCGGAUUUGAAAGCACUUUAAGUUGGGAGGCGUUACCAACAGAAUAAGGACCGGCUAACUUCGUGCCAGCAGCCGCGGGAAUUC